rnacentral:rRNA from 1 species
UACGGAGGGUGCAAGCAUUAAUCGGAUUUAUUGGGCGUAAAGGGCGCGUAGGCGGAAAUAUAAGUCAGAUGUGAAAUCCCGGGGCUCAACCCCGGAACAGCAUUUGAAACUAUAUUCCUUGAGGGUAGGCGGAGAAAACGGAAUUCCACAUGUAGCGGUGAAAUGCGUAGAUAUGUGGCAGAACAUCGGUGGCGAAGGCGGUUUUCUAGCUUAUUCCUGACGCUGAGGCGCGAAAGUAAGGGGAUCAAACAGG